rnacentral:rRNA from 1 species
AUGCAUAAGCUCGUAAACGUUCAUUAUUUGGACAAGUCGACAUUUAUGCUUGGAAAUGACGAUGAAGGGGAAGAUGCUAUGGUUUUUGACACCAGUCCAAGCUUUGAUGAUCUUGUAGUUCAAGUGAGAAGCGUCUUACAUUGGAAUGACCCAAAUGCCGAGGUUAAGCUUAUUGGGAGGUAUGACGUUGGAUUGGGAGUAAAGUCCCGAUUAAAGAGUAUGCCCAUCACCUCCCAAUUGCAUUGGAAUGUGUACAAGGAAAAAGUAGACGCAUCACAAUACAAGUCUCUUGACAUCUUUGCCACAAAGGUUGAUCCUCCUCCUCCUCUGCAAAUUGAUCUCAACCGCAAUGCAUCCUUCCCCAUGCAUGAUGACAGUGCCGAGGUGGAUGUCCCCAAUUCUUCUAGCCAACCACCAAGUAGCCAACCCAAUGAAGAUCAUAUCAAUGCUAGCGCCGUAGUACUCCGUCAUGAUGCUAUUCCUCAUGUUGAAGAAGAUGUUAUUACUCAUGUUGAUGAUGAUGCUAUUGUUGCUCUAGAGGAGGAUGUUUACUCGGAGAAUGAAGAGAUCCAUUACAAUCCAAUUGGUAACUUGGAUGUCAUUGUGCGGCAACAAGACAUGGACCGUACCCUCCCUUAUAACCGUAUGUGUGGGUAUAACUCGGAUGACGAGGGUUCGGAGGAAGAGUUGGAUGAGGAUGGGUUGACUGCGCAAGAAAAAUGA